rnacentral:rRNA from 1 species
AGUGAACGCUGGCGGUAUGCCUAACACAUGCAAGUCGAGCGGCAGCACAGUAAGAUCUUGCUCUUACUGUUGGCGAGUGGCGGACGAGUGAGGAGUACAUCGGCAUCUUCUUUUUCUUGGGUAAUAACGUGGGAAAACUUACACUACUACCUCAUACUACCUACGGCUGAGAUCAGAAGAUCUUCGCGCCUUUCGCGAUUGUAUUAGCCGAGGUCGCAUUAGCUAGUUGGCUGGGUAAAGGCCCACCAAGGCGACGAUCCGUAGCUGGCCUGAGAGGAUGAUCAGCCACACUGGAACUGAGACACGGUCCAGACUCCUACGGGAGGCAGCAGUGGGGAAUCUUCGACAAUGGGCGAAAGCCUGAUCCAGCCAUACUGCGUGGGUGAAGAAGGCCUUCGGGUCGUAAAGCCCUUUUGUUAGGAAAGAACAGAAGCAGGUUAAUACCCCGAUGUUCUGACGGUACCCAAAGAAAAAGCAACGGCUAACUUCGUG